UCCGAUUUCAGGUGGUUGGUUCACUGAGUGAGACAGAUUAUUAACAGGAUGAGGAUUCUUCUUACUGUUAGGUAGAGGUGGAGUUUCCAGGAGGGAAGGCGAGUCAUGCCACAAAGUCUGAGGUUGACAGGGAGGCUGUAAUGCAAUAAUUGAGGUCCUCUUUGUACAUUAUCCAGGUGCCAGUGUGAGGAGUUGGAGGAUGGACAAGAAGGAGGAUUUCAGACUGGUUCACAGGAGAAGAGGUAAGUAUGAUUCUUAGUAUGCAGGCUCCAGGAAGUUAAAGGAGGCUCUCAGUCGGGCAAGCACAGUGAAGUACUUUCAACAAAACAAGAAUUUGGACAAGGACCAUAGGCUGGGAAAAAUCCGGGUCUGUUUCUCCAGGUAGAAAUUCACUCUGGGAGAGAGGAGGACAAAAAAACUCAGGUAAGGGACUAGGUCAGGAAAAACAAGAGAAACAGAACUACACCUGCUGGUCUGAUUACCACUCAGGUGAGUUAACAAUCUGACACCUCCUUCAGGUUUCCUGCUGCUUAAGAGCUCUUUCACUGAUUAUCCCUGAUGAGUCUCAGCAGUGUGAUUGGACCUGCCUGUAGGACCCUGCAGGAAGAGGUGAGAUAGAAAAAACUGCACACACAACACAAACCUGUGCUCAGCUCCGUGAAAUGACAGUAGGUCUUAUAUCUCCAACCAGAACAUUAAUGGUGGAGUGUACAGCACAAGCCCCAGUCAUGUUUGACACAUGCAUUACUCAUUCUGGCAGUGACUCAUUUAAGAUUCGUUAAACGUCAUCCAGCUGUGUCCUUUAGACAAGACAAGCUGGAAAAAAGUUGUCAAAAAUGGAAAUAUCAGAACAAAGGAACUAAAGGAGGAGGUGCGGCCUAACCUCCUGUAUUUGGAGGUUUCAGGGAAGUGAUGUCACAGGAGGUACCAGGUGAAGAGGGGAGAAGAAACUGUUAAAGUGUUAAGUUAACUUUGGGGUUUUGUUUAUUAGUUUUGAAGUGUUAGAGUUAGGAUAUAAUUGUUAAACCGUAAACACAGGGUUGUUAGCUCAGUGAUUUGACAUUAUUUCUCAUGUUGGAAUAUACCUGUAAGAUGGAAGAUUCCAUUUCAGUUAAUUGUGUUUGGAAGGGCAUGAAGGUAUUUAAGCAGAUCAGGAAAGAAGUUAAGGAGGGAGGACCAGGUCAGUGUAGCUGUGUGCACGUGACGUUAAGUUUGGUUGGUUUGAGUAUAGUUAUGUUUAUUUUGUCACUUUCAAGUUUAAGUCAUUUUUGUACAUAUUUGUGGUUGCUCUUUUUGUAAAUAAACCACCUGCUACACUGGAGAACAUCAGUCUGCUGCCCUUCUUCAACCACUUUGGCCACAAUAUACCACAUAUAACAUCUGUUGUGUAGAAAAUGUUGAUCCACAUUUGUAUUCAGCACCCUUUAAAUCAAUAUGUGGUAGAACCACCCUUGAUGCAAUUACAGCUGCAAUUCUUUUGGGGUAUACAUCUAGAAACAUAAUG